GAUGAACGCUGGCGGCGUGCCUAAUACAUGCAAGUCGAGCGAACAGACGAGGAGCUUGCUCCUCUGACGUCAGCGGCGGACGGGUGAGUAACACGUGGAUAACCUACCUAUAAGACUGGGAUAACUUCGGGAAACCGGAGCUAAUACCGGAUAAUAUAUUGAACCGCAUGGUUCAAUAGUGAAAGACGGUUUUGCUGUCACUUAUAGAUGGAUCCGCGCCGCAUUAGCUAGUUGGUAAGGUAACGGCUUACCAAGGCAACGAUGCGUAGCCGACCUGAGAGGGUGAUCGGCCACACUGGAACUGAGGCGCGGUCCAGACUCCUACGGGAGGCAGCAGUAGGGAAUCUUCCGCAAUGGGCGAAAGCCUGACGGAGCAACGCCGCGUGAGUGAUGAAGGUCUUCGGAUCGUAAAACUCUGUUAUUAGGGAAGAACAAAUGUGUAAGUAACUAUGCACGUCUUGACGGUACCUAAUCAGAAAGCCACGGCUAACUACGUG
rnacentral:rRNA from 1 species